GACGAACGCUGGCGGCGUGCCUAAUACAUGCAAGUAGAACGCUGAAGGAGGAGCUUGCUUCUCUGGAUGAGUUGCGAACGGGUGAGUAACGCGUAGGUAACCUGCCUGGUAGCGGGGGAUAACUAUUGGAAACGAUAGCUAAUACCGCAUAAUAGCAGUUGUUGCAUGACAACUGUUUGAAAGGUGCAAUUGCACCACUACCAGAUGGACCUGCGUUGUAUUAGCUAGUUGGUGGGGUAACGGCUCACCAAGGCGACGAUACAUAGCCGACCUGAGAGGGUGAUCGGCCACACUGGGACUGCGACACGGCCCAGACUCCUACGGGAGGCAGCAGUAGGGAAUCUUCGGCAAUGGACGGAAGUCUGACCGAGCAACGCCGCGUGAGUGAAGAAGGUUUUCGGAUCGUAAAGCUCUGUUGUAAGAGAAGAACGAGUGUGAGAGUGGAAAGUUCACACUGUGACGGUAUCUUACCAGAAAGGGACGGCUAACUACGUG
rnacentral:rRNA from 1 species